CAAUCUCAGUUCAGACUGCAGGCUGCAACUCGCCUGCACGAAGUCGGAAUUGCUAGUAAUCGUAGGUCAGCAUACUACGGUGAAUACGUUCCCGGGCCUUGUACACACCGCCCGUCAAACCAUGAGAGUCGGGAACACCCGAAGUCCGUAGCCUAACCGCAAGGGGGGCGCGGCCGAAGGUGGGUUCGAUAAUUGGGGUGAAGUCGUAACAAGGUAUC
rnacentral:rRNA from 1 species